UACCAGCACCCCGAGUGGUCGGGACGUUUAUUGGGCCUAAAGCAUCCGUAGCCGGUUCUACAAGUCUUCCGUUAAAUCCAACUGCUUAACAGGUGGGCUGCGGAAGAUACUAUAGAGCUAGGAGGCGGGAGAGGCAAGCGGUACUCGAUGGGUAGGGGUAAAAUCCGUUGAUCCAUUGAAGACCACCAGUGGCGAAGGCGGCUUGCCAGAACGCGCUACG
rnacentral:rRNA from 1 species